CUCCCUACUGAGACCCAGUAGCAGCACUCACGGGUUGGUGAGACCCAGAGCAGCACUCACGGGUUGGUGAGACCCAGAGCAGCACUCACGGCAUGUGGUCUCCUCUCCAGCUCCCAUCAACCCCCAGGAGAAGAUGAAGGGAGCUCUGAGUCUCUCAGGCGGAAGGUAAGGAAGAGAGAGAUUAAGGAGGAGAGACAUGGAAAGGAGAGGAUUAUGUCAUAUCAGAAGUGUUCCCUUGAUGUACCUUCAUACAGGAACAGUUGGUGUUCACUUUUAUUAUGUCCCCCUCUCCAAAAUGGAGAUCAAAAUAUGAAUCCGGAAUCAUUACAGAUAUGUGUGAGAC
rnacentral:lncRNA from 1 species